AUUGAACGCUGGCGGCAUGCCUUACACAUGCAAGUCGAGCAGUAACAGGCCGCAAGGUGCUGACGAGUGGCGAACGGGUGAGUAAUGCAUCGGAACGCGCCCAGUCGUGGGGGAUAACUGCUCGAAAGAGCAGCUAAUACCGCAUACGACCUGAGGGAGAAAGCGGGGGACCGUAAGGCCUCGCGCGAUUGGAGCGGCCGAUGUCAGAUUAGCUAGUUGGUGGGGGAAAGGCCUACCAAGGCAACGAUCUGUAGUUGGUCUGAGAGGACGACCAGCCACACUGGGACUGAGACACGGCCCAGACUCCUACGGGAGGCAGCAGUGGGGAAUUUUGGACAAUGGGCGCAAGCCUGAUCCAGCAAUGCCGCGUGCAAGAAGAAGGCCUUCGGGUUGUAAACUGCCUUUGUCAGGGAAGAAAUCUUCUGGGCUAAUACCCCGGGAGGAUGACGGUACCUGAAGAAUAAGCACCGGCUAACUACGUGCCAGCCGCCGCAGUAACAC
rnacentral:rRNA from 1 species